AGAGUUUGAUCCUGGCUCAGGAUGAACGCUGGCGGCGUGCCUAAUACAUGCAAGUCGAACGAACUUAACUUAAUGAUUGAAGUGCUUGCACUGAUUGACUUUAAGAGCGGUGAGUGGCGGAUGGGUGAGUAACACGUGGGUAACCUGCCUUCUAGCAGGGGAUAACAUCUGGAAACAGGUGCUAAUACCGUAUAAAUCGUCAAACCGCAUGGUUUGACGCUGAAAGGCGGCUUCGGCUGUCACUAGAAGAUGGACCCGCGGUGCAUUAGUUAGUUGGUGAGGUAAAGGCCCACCAAGACCGUGAUGCAUAGCCGAACUGAGAGGUUGAUCGGCCACAUUGGGACUGAGACACGGCCCAAACUCCUACGGGAGGCAGCAGUAGGGAAUCUUCCACAAUGGACGAAAGUCUGAUGGAGCAACGCCGCGUGAGUGAAGAAGGUUUUCGGAUCGUAAAGCUCUGUUGUUGAAGAAGAACACUAGUGAGAGUAACUGUUCAUUAGUUGACGGUAUUCAACCAGAAAGCCACGGCUAACUACGUGCCAGCAGCCGCGGUAAUACGUAGGUGGCGAGCGUUAUCCGGAUUUAUUGGGCGUAAAGCGAGCGCAGGCGGUUUCUUAAGUCUGAUGUGAAAGCCCCCGGCUCAACCGGGGAAGUGCAUCGGAAACUGGGAAACUUGAGUGCAGAAGAGGACAGUGGAACUCCAUGUGUAGCGGUGAAAUGCGUAGAUAUAUGGAAGAACACCAGUGGCGAAGGCGGCUGUCUGGUCUGUAACUGACGCUGAGGCUCGAAAGCAUGGGUAGCGAACAGGAUUAGAUACCCUGGUAGUCCAUGCCGUAAACGAUGAAUACUAAGUGUUGGAGGGUUUCCGCCCUUCAGUGCUGCAGCUAACGCAUUAAGUAUUCCGCCUGGGGAGUACGACCGCAAGGUUGAAACUCAAAGGAAUUGACGGGGGCCCGCACAAGCGGUGGAGCAUGUGGUUUAAUUCGAAGCAACGCGAAGAACCUUACCAGGUCUUGACAUCUUCUGCCAACCUAAGAGAUUAGGCGUUCCCUUCGGGGACAGAAUGACAGGUGGUGCAUGGUUGUCGUCAGCUCGUGUCGUGAGAUGUUGGGUUAAGUCCCGCAACGAGCGCAACCCUUAUGACUAGUUGCCAGCAUUCAGUUGGGCACUCUAGUAAGACUGCCGGUGACAAACCGGAGGAAGGUGGGGACGACGUCAAAUCAUCAUGCCCCUUAUGACCUGGGCUACACACGUGCUACAAUGGCCGGUACAACGAGUCGCCAACCCGCGAGGGUGCGCUAAUCUCUUAAAGCCGGUCUCAGUUCGGACUGCAGGCUGCAACUCGCCUGCACGAAGUCGGAAUCGCUAGUAAUCGCGGAUCAGCAUGCCGCGGUGAAUACGUUCCCGGGCCUUGUACACACCGCCCGUCACACCAUGAGAGUUUGUAACACCCGAAGCCGGUGGGGUAACCCUUUCGAGGGAGCUAGCCGUCUAAGGUGGGACAGAUGAUUAGGGUGAAGUCGUAACAAGGUAGCCGUAGGAGAACCUGCGGCUG
rnacentral:rRNA from 1 species